AGUGAACGCUGGCGGUAGGCCUAACACAUGCAAGUCGAACGGCAGCACAUUAAGAGCUUGCUCUUACGGGUGGCGAGUGGCGGACGGGUGAGGAAUACAUCGGAAUCUACUUUUUCGUGGGGGAUAACGUAGGGAAACUUACGCUAAUACCGCAUACGACCUACGGGUGAAAGCAGGGGAUCUUCGUACCUUGCGCGAUUGAGUGAUCCGUUGUCGGAUUAGCUAGUUGGCGGGGUAAAGGCCCACCAAGGCGACGAUCCGUAGCUGGUCUGAGAGGAUGAUAAGCCACACUGGGACUGAGACACGGUCCAGACUCCUACGGGAGGCAGCAGUGGGGAAUAUUGGAAAAUGGGAGCAAGCCUGAUCCAGCCAUACCGCGUGGGUGAAGAAGGCCUUCGGGUUGUAAAGCCCUUUUGUUGGGAAAGAAAAGCAGCAGGUUAAUAACCCGCUGUUCUGACGGUACCCAAAGAAUAAGCACCGGCUAACUUCGUG
rnacentral:rRNA from 1 species